rnacentral:rRNA from 1 species
CAGAAGCUUACGGUUCUCGUCUCGUUCUCUUCGACUCCUCCGUCGAUCGGCUUGGUGUACAUUUCGGAAACUAGAAAGUAUAUCCUAACAAAGUACUAAGUCCCUUCCGUCCGGUACAGAGGGAGGGACGAGGAGCGCAAGGAGACGCCGGAUUAGAAGUAGCGUCCAUAUAAAAUAGAGGUGGUAACUAAGCUAAUAUUCCUUCCACAUGGUUUCGUCUUCGUCUUUGAGCUGGAGAGACUGUUGAGGUAGUAGCCGCGAGAGGGUCACUCACUGGAGUUGGUUACAGUGCCGGAACACGUGGAGUUGUAGAGGGUGUUGGAGUAGUGGCCCAGCGACUUACACAGACCUGACUGGUUCGAAGCCCACGAGCUGCACAGCCGAUUGUCCGAGCUCCCGCCGUAGCGGAAGUUAAAGGGCCGCUAUACGCGAUUGGAAUGGAACGACGUGAACAGGUGGUUGUUGUAGUGUCCAUUGUAGUGGUUGUACAAUCUCCCAACGCGGUCCGACCUCAUGCAGCUGGAGUCGAGCUUGUUGAAGCUGCCGCUCGAGAACGGGCUGCAGCGUUCUAAGUCCUUUAAGUCGUAGCGACUCUUGUUGUAGUGGCCCUCGCAAGGUACCUCGUACAAAGGAUUACCUACGUUCGAGGUCAGGAAUCUGGAGAGACGGUUGGUCGACCACCCCUCGAAGGGCCUAAGGUAACGCUUUACGUGCUUAAACUGCAUGAACAGCGACACCCCCUUAUUAAAGCGACCUUACCAUGGACGGCCUUAACCCUUCGAGCGCAGCGCAGGGAACUCCGCAACCAAGAACCCUUCUUGUCCAAGCUGUCCGUCUAUGGCGUACUCGAUUGUUUGACGCACGCGGAAGUCAAGAACCUGUAGUCAUCUUUAUACAAACCACCGUUGCACCUCCUCUAAAAACCGUUGAAAUACUCGAACUUCAUAGAACACGAAGUGGUGUUGUUGAUGUGACCGCCGUAGCACCGGAGGCCGCACGAGGCUGAUGGUGACGAACGAUCCGAGCUGGAAUCGAAGUUACUCAAGUGGUCGCUAGAGGGUGUUCUCCACCGGUUGUACUUCUCGGAGCUUAUGGACUGCGAGCGACUAUUGUUGAAGAGACCAUCCUAUGGAGGCCUUAUGCCGGCCGAUCGCCUCGAGGUCCGCGACCUGGACAGAUUAUUGUGGGAGAGUCCUCCUUAGGGGCGCUCGUAGCCCUUAGACUGCAGUGAGGAAACCAACUAUGAUCGCCCCUUGGUUGAGAAACCACUCUAUGGCGGACUCUAGCCGAUGACGUGGUCGAACGAGACCGACUUGGACCGCCUGUUGGUCAACUGGCCGUUAUAUGGCGGACUCUACCGUCUCUACCCCUCCUUAGGCCCGGGUUGGAAGCGGUUCUUGGCCUUACUAUGUUCGCACAAGUAACCGAGGUUACUCACAGUUCGGUACUCCGCCACCUAGGGCCGCUCGAUAGUAGGUAAGUCGAAGCAGUUGAGGCAGAACUGACUAGGGUCUUGAUUCUUCUUGAGCCAGUACUGGCCCCCUUUGACGGCGUUGUAUACCCUGGCGUAGGAGUUCCCGAUGUAAUAGCAGGGUUACACGUGGUUGAGCAACAGCCAGCCCAGCGAGGGGCCCAUGCACGUCGACAGUUCCUUGUACGAAAGACCACUCUAUGGCGGCGCCUAACCAUGUUACGCCUUGUAACCAAACGAGAAGGAGCUACCAUUGACAAAGUGCCCCGUUAACGGCGCCCUAUAGCCGGCCGAAGGUGAGCAUCUCGACUUGUAGAGUUCCUUGUUGUACAGCCCCGGCUAGGGCAGGCUCUAACCGCUCAUAGACACAGACCUCUCCUACCUAAACAGGAAGUUGUUGGAGAGACUGCUCGAGGGCUGCUCGGACAAGUUCGAGUGCCUCAACCAAUACAAGUUACAAAGUAUGUUGGGCGAGGAGAGACCAUUAUAGAGGUGGUGACCGGUUAAACCGUGUAAGCUGCUCGUCAGGAAGGAGCCGCUAGGCGAGUAGAGUAACCUAGUCCCACCUGGACGACCUUUCGUUGUUGGUCCUCUCCUUCCAGGGAUACAAUGGCGACAACUCUCCUCGUCGCACGGUUGUUGUUAGGAUUAAAGCAUGAAGAAGAAGGAACAUCAACCGAAGUAAAUACCGUGACAAUCACCACCCACUUUAUUGCCAACUGAUACCCCCGAGGCAUCCUCUAACUCGCAUACACAUUUGUGCUUACAGUUAAACUCCCCCUUAGUUGAGAUGUUUGAUCGUUCCACUUCGUUUUUUCGUUUCUUGAACUACGUUUUCUUUCUUUUAUUUCAAAAGUAUUCUUGUGACCACAUAGGGUUCGAAACUGUGUAAACACACUAGGUUACAGAAAU